AUAUAAAUUAAGGCUUUUACUCCAAAAAUCAUUAUAAUGAAAAUAAUAUAUUAUACAAUUUAAAAAACACAUCGAAACAUCAAAAUUUCAAUAUAAAAAAUAAUUUAAUGAUUCAAAAUCAUCAAGAUGUAAGUUGAUGAAAAAUGAUUUUUAGAAAUUCAACAAAAUUGACACCAAUUUAUCGCAAUAUGUUCAAAAUAGAGAUUAACUAAUAUGGCACCGGGGGUGGCUCUUUGAGCAUCUUUUCAACUUACCACGUUAUAACUCCGAAAAUUCUAAAAUAUUCAAAUUUUUUCAACCUUUUUCGAUUACUCAAUUUAAUCUUCAUGUGGUAGCUUCACACACUUGCCGGACGACCGGGGUGGUAGCUCUUUCUUACAUGUGGUGGUAGUUUUCACACUCCUUUUGGAUGUAACUCUUUCCACAUCUUUUAAACAUAGGAGUUUUCUCCUUUUUUUUAAAAUCAAACUCCCCCUUAAUUAGACAAUCUCACAAUUGAAAAUAAUUUUGACAAAAUUUAGUCAAUUAGUGAAUAUCCAUCGAUCAUAUUCAACACUUACAACCGAGAUAGAUAAAUCACCAAGAGAUCAAAUUUGAUUUCAAAAUUUUGAUGAAUACAUGCAUUAAGAAAUCAUAUAUUAAAUUAUCGUCAAAAUAAUAAAAAGUGGA
rnacentral:lncRNA from 1 species